UACGGAGGGUGCAAGCGUUGUUCGGAAUCACUGGGCGUAAAGAGCGUGUAGGCGGCUUAUUAAGUCGGUUGUGAAAGCCCCAGGCUUAACCUGGGAACUGCAGUCGAAACUGGUAAGCUGGAGUAUCGGAGAGGAUGGUGGAAUUCCCGGUGUAGAGGUGGAAUUCGUAGAGAUCGGGAGGAACACCUGAAGCGAAGGCGGCCAUCUGGAAGAUUACUGACGCUGAGACGCGAAAGCGUGGGGAGCAAACAGG
rnacentral:rRNA from 1 species